AUGGCUGCAGCCAGCGGCGAGGGGACAGCAGGGACCCGGCUCCUGCCAGCUGGCACUGCCCUGGCCCUGCUCGGUGGCCUGGUCUACCUGGGCACCCUGUGUGCUGCCUGUAAACGGAAGGGCAGGAAGAAGGUUGCUCCAGAUGGGGUGAAGCUCGUGGAUGAGGCCCUGCUCUGCCGGACACAGCUGCGGUCACUCAGCAAGUCCGACACGAAGCUGCACGAGCUGUACCGGGUGAAGGUCAGAGAUGAUGUCCAGCGUCCGGCCAGUCUGGAUCUCCCCUGUCCCACAGCCCCUGGAGGCGAAUCCCUGCACAGCUCUGGCCUCCUGCACCGUGAGCUGCCCCAGAUCCCUGUCCCUGCCCCCCCGGCUGCCUCCCCAGCCCCUGACCAGACCUACUCCAACCUGCUCUUCACCCCGCUGCGGAAACCAGCGCCAGACUCUGUCUAUGAGUGCCUGGCAGUGGGGGGAGAGGAUGCCCCAGUGCCCCCCAUGCCAGCUGGCACCCAGGUGUCCCCUCCACGGGCUGUGCAUGGGGCAGCCGAUUAUGCCUGUGUCCAUAAAGUGAAGAAGGUGGUGUCAGUGGAGGUGCAGCCUGGGGCUGUGGCAGGACCCCCUGGAGCACAGCACUGCUGGGAUGGUGCAGGCAAUGCCCCUCAGGCCAAGCUGGAGGAGAUGUACUCAACGGUGUGCAAAGCCACCAAGAAGAAAUCCCAGGUCCCUGCACCAACCCCGAGGGCUGUGAAGGAGCUGGGUUCUGGGUGGCCAGCCCCCCACCAGCAGGAGGGGGCCCCAGCAGCCCCAGGCCCCCCUGACCCCUGUUACGAGUCCAUCAACGACAGAGCAUGGACUGCUCAGGGCCGUGGCCCCGACCCCGACUAUGAGGCUGUGGACAUUAACUGGAAGAAAGCAGCAAAACGGGACAAGCCAGGGAAGCCCUGUGUCCCCGAGAACCUGUACGAGAGCGUGGUGGACAUUUGGGCAGGGGAGCCCCGGAAAGCCUCGGCCCGGACGGCGGCCAAUGGGCUGGAGGUUUACAUCACCAACCUAUAGCCCCCGGGAGCAGGGCCAGUGCCACAGGGGGUCCCAGCAGGCGGGACACCAUCGGGUGCCAAAGGGACAGUGCCAGCAGCCCUGUGCCCCCCAGAGCGGCUGUGUUCCUGCACUCUCUCUCUGUAUAGAUUUUCUGUUACUUUUCUAUGAGUGUCCUUGUCCCAUCCCAGCCCAGCUGGUGCCAGCAGGUUGAUGGUGGGGUGUCCCAGGAUGGGCAGUUUGGGGGUGCUGGGUGCUGUGUGGCACCCCAGUGAGACAGGGCUGGCCCUGGCACCAAGAUGGGAACAGGGUGAGGACCAGUCAUGUUUUGGGGCAGGGGGUGAUGGGCUGAAGCCAGCCCCAUGCCUUGGGUUGCAGGAUCAGACCCUCAUUGGGAGGUUUCUGCCAUGACUGAGAGGGUCUCUGUCCUCCUCAUACUGCCUGGGGGAGACCAGGCCCCCCUCCAGCCCCCAGGAAGCCCUGAGAAGCUUUGCUCCCAUCACAGAACGUCCCUUGUUAUGGGGAGAUGGGGUCAGCCCUGUGCCUUCAUGGAAUCAUGGAAUAUCCUGAGUUGGAAAGGACCCACAAGGCUUCAAGGGAUCAUUGAGUUCAUCUGAUCCUGCACAGGACAACGCAGAAAUUUCACUGGUGUGGGCUGUGGGCUCUGCUCCAUCCUCCAUUCCCACCCUUUCAGACCCAGGCAAGGGUGUCUCCGAGGGCAGCCCUCUCCCAAACACCAUUAAAAGGCUGAGAGAUGGUUCACACUCUUAAAUUGAGCCUAAAUCCCUGUUUCUGGGGGCUGUUGCUGCUGAUGCAACAGGUGCUGGGGGAGCAGUUUUGAGCACAAUGUGACUGUGAGUGCACCCGCCCUGGAUGGGUGGUUUGGCACCUCUGAAAUGGGGACACAGCCACCAGGAGCUGCUGUACGGGGUGAUCUGUGCCGGAGCAGAGCCUUGCACAGGGCUGGGGUAGAAGCCAGGCUGCGUUUGCUCAGCAUUUGCUCAUCUUCCCAUGGCCCCUGGGAGCCCUGCAGCCUCCACGUGCCAAAAAACUUGGUGGGCUGGAUGUUUACCAGAGCUUAAACUGCUCUCCUCGCCGGCGGAGUUGCACAUCCGUGCCUCAAGGGACGCCGUGGAGAGGCAGUGACACUGGCACUGCUGACAUGGCCAGCGGCUGGCCAGCGGCUGCCUGGCCUCGUGGCACGAUGGCCAUGUGCUCGCUGGAGCCGGCUGGAGCCUGCAGCCCCUGUGGCAGGAAGCCAAGCGCCUUCCCUCAGCAUCUUUGCCCCCGCACCGCAGCAGGUGAAGAGAUUAAAACCGAAAACGCGGCGCUCAGCAAACCCAGCUGAAGGCCUUAGAGCUGGAGGCACCCCAGGCAUCGUCAGCCCCGCGCUCGACGCCAAACCACAGCUGCUCUCGAGAGCUUCUCCCAUCCCCCUGCGAGAUAAGGGCGCUGAUAGAGCCGGGCUGGUGCCGGUGCUGCCGUGCUCUUCCUGCUGCCAGCGCGCCACAAGGACGCGUGGGCUCCCACCACGCUGCCCCGGCCGCAUCCUUCCCCUGCUCCCCUUCUCCAUCGUCCCACCGCACGUGGCUGGGUCCCUCCUGCACCACCUGAAUCCCCUGGGAGCUGCUUUGGGCCGUGUUGCCAGGCACAGGAGCAUCAUGUCCAUGUGGGACCAGGGUGGCUUCACUCCGCUCCCUGCGCUGCCUGUGGGCUGGCUUGUGCCACCUCCCUGGGGAAAGGCAGGCUUGGAAUGGCAUCAGGGAAGGGAAAGCUCCUGCUGUGGUGGAGCUGAGGUGGCCAAAUUUAGUCUCCAAUUUGCCCCAGCAGCAGCAGAAGCCGUGCAGGGCUGCCCGCUUGUCUGUAAUUCCUGUGGGACUUGGGAGAGCCGGACUCAAAUAAAAGAACUGCCCAGUCCUCGGGGUGAUGGAAA
rnacentral:lncRNA from 1 species